rnacentral:lncRNA from 1 species
GUUCCAAGUGAGGAGGAGGAGGAGGAAGAAAACGGGUUUGAAGACAGAAAAGAUGACAGCGAUGACGACGGGGGUGGCUGGAUAACCCCCAGUAACAUCAAGCAGAUCCAGCAGGAGCUGGAGCAGUGCGACGUCCCCGAGGACGUGCGGGUUGGCUGCGUGACCACAGACUUCCCCAGGCAGAAUGUUCUGCUGCAGAUGGGGCUGCACGUGCUGGCGGUGAACUGCAUGCUGAUUCGUGAGGCCCAGAGCUACGUCUGGGCUGCCACGGCUGUUUCAAGACAACGUCUGACAUGAGCCGAGUGUUCUGUUCACACUGUGGGAACAAGACCCUGAAGAAAGUGUCCGUGACCAUCAGUGACGACGGCACCCUGCACAUGCACUUCUCCCGCAACCCCAAGGUGCUGAACGCCCGCGGCCUCCGGUACUCGCUUCCCACUCCCAAAGGGGGCACAUACGCCAUCAACCCCCAUCUCACCGAGGAUCAGCGCUUCCCUCAACCGCGACUCUCCCGAAAGGCCAGGCAGAAAACCAACGUGUUCGCCCCUGACUACAUCGCCGGGAUGUCGCCCUUUGUCGAGAAUCCCCAACCAGUAAAAG